CUCGAACAUUCUGAUAAAAUGCUACCAAAUAAAAUCAACACAAAGCUAAAAUUUAAUUUAAAAAUUAAACGUAGUCUUCAACAAAAAAACUCAAAAGAGACGUGAAAUUUUUUUUCUAUAUAGCAAAGUUUACCCAGCAAAUCAACAAAAAUUUUAAAAAAUGAAAUUCAGUUCCACAAGUUUUCAGCCUGCGCAGAAAAAAAGAAUGAAUUCAUCUCUCAUAAGGUGCCCUGCUCAUACGCAUAACACCAUGGGAAGUGGCAGCGUGAACUACAGCAGACUACAACUUUUGCCCUCCUUUUGCUUCUUGGCUCUCCUGUGCCUCCUUUUCCUUGCUUGUCAGGGCCCAACUGUCAGUGCUAUGUAUUCAGCUCAUGUCAGUCAUACAGAUUCUGGCCUAAAUGAACUCUCAGGCGAAACCCAAGAAAACCCAGUUUGGACAAAAUACACCUUAGAGUACAUCAAAAUGCAGCCAAGCUCCAAAACUUCGUCUCCAUUAAACGAUCUGAAGAGUGUGUUCAAACGCAGCGAGGCGACGAAAAAGGGAGGAAACAAAAUUCCAUCAAGCAGAGUGGUGUUUUUUCCCCGAUACAGACGUAUCAACGACCAUUGAACUUACAGAUUUACACCAGUCUAAAUUCCAAAAAAUCAGUUUAAAAAAUGUAGUUUUUCAAGCAUUCGUUGCAAAUAUUUAUUUUCACAGUGGUGCUCCAAAAGUGAAUAUACAUUGA